CUGAUGCAGCAACGCCGCGUGAGGGAUGACGGCCUUCGGGUUGUAAACCUCUUUUACGAGGGAAGAAGCGAAAGUGACGGUACCUGCAGAAAAAGCGCCGGCUAACUACGUGCCAGCAGCCGCGGUAAUACGUAGGGCGCAAGCGUUAUCCGGAAUUAUUGGGCGUAAAGAGCUCGUAGGCGGUUUGUCGCGUCUGCUGUGAAAUCCCGAGGCUCAACCUCGGGCCUGCAGUGGGUACGGGCAGACUAGAGUGCGGUAGGGGAGAUUGGAAUUCCUGGUGUAGCGGUGGAAUGCGCAGAUAUCAGGAGGAACACCGAUGGCGAAGGCAGAUCUCUGGGCCGUAACUGACGCUGAGGAGCGAAAGGGUGGGGAGCAAACAGGCUUAGAUACCCUGGUAGUCCACCCCGUAAACGUUGGGAACUAGUUGUGGGGUCCAUUCCACGGAUUCCGUGACGCAGCUAACGCAUUAAGUUCCCCGCCUGGGGAGUACGGCCGCAAGGCUAAAACUCAAAGGAAUUGACGGGGACCCGCACAAGCGGCGGAGCAUGCGGAUUAAUUCGAUGCAACGCGAAGAACCUUACCAAGGCUUGACAUAUACGAGAACGGGCCAGAAAUGGUCAACUCUUUGGACACUCGUAAACAGGUGGUGCAUGGUUGUCGUCAGCUCGUGUCGUGAGAUGUUGGGUUAAGUCCCGCAACGAGCGCAACCCUCGUUCUAUGUUGCCAGCACGUAAUGGUGGGAACUCAUGGGAUACUGCCGGGGUCAACUCGGAGGAAGGUGGGGAUGACGUCNAAUCAUCAUGCCCCUUAUGUCUUGGGCUUCACGCAUGCUACAAUGGCCGGUACAAAGGGCUGCAAUACCGUGAGGUGGAGCGAAUCCCAAAAAGCCGGUCCCAGUUCGGAUUGAGGUCUGCAACUCGACCUCAUGAAGUCGGAGUCGCUAGUAAUCGCAGAUCAGCAACGCUGCGGUGAAUACGUUCCCGGGCCUUGUACACACCGC
rnacentral:rRNA from 1 species